UACGUAGGGUGCAAGCGUUGUCCGGAAUUAUUGGGCGUAAAGAGCGUGUAGGCGGCCAGACAGGUCCGUUGUGAAAACUGGAGGCUCAACCUCCAGACGUCGAUGGAAACCGUCUGGCUAGAGUCCGGAAGAGGAGAGUGGAAUUCCUGGUGUAGCGGUGAAAUGCGCAGAUAUCAGGAAGAACACCCGUGGCGAAGGCGGCUCUCUGGGACGGUACUGACGCUGAGACGCGAAAGCGUGGGGAGCGAACAGG
rnacentral:rRNA from 1 species